rnacentral:lncRNA from 1 species
AUUGAGGUGGACUACCCUCCCUUAUAAUUGUUGCUUCUUCUUGGUCUAGGUUUCUCUUUACUGAUUUGAUGUGCCACAUGAUUGGUUAUUUUUCGUAAGGGAAAGUUUGAACGCUAAUCAUAUCAAAGUUACAAUACACUCAUAUGAAAACACAAAGCGUGUACUUGUGAUCACGCUCAAUAAUUGGUUGGUGACCAUAUACUGUUGGAAAAUAAUAGUUUUCACACACAAGGAAAAAAAAAAACUAAAUGCUUACAGAAACCAGACAGAAGCACAUCACAAUCCUCUCUCAAUAAAAACAUAAACAGUAAAAAAAAGAUCAAAUAUUACACCAAAAAUGGUCAAAUAUUAUGUAACAUUGACAUCAGAAAGAAUAACUAAAAACCCGCUGUCCAAUUAUUGCUCCUAACAAUCCACUUGAACUGCAACCACACACUCAUAUGAAAACACAAAGCGUGUACUUGUGAUCACGCUCAAUAAUUGGUUGGUGACCAUAUACUGUUGGAAAAUAAUAGUUUUCACACACAAGGAAAAAAAAAAACUAAAUGCUUACAGAAACCAGACAGAAGCACAUCACAAUCCUCUCUCAAUAAAAACAUAAACAGUAAAAAAAAGAUCAAAUAUUACACCAAAAAUGGGCAAAUAUUAUGUAACAUUGACAUCAGAAAGAAUAACUAAAAACCCGCUGUCCAAUUAUUGCUCCUAACAAUCCACUUGAACUGCAACCACACACAAACCAUGAUACAAAGCUGAUGAGAUUUAUUGGAGAAGAGUACGGGACGUCGCAGGCCACACACGCCGACCACCACUAGAUCUGUAGAAUGCAGAGCAAAGACCGGAGCACAAGCCGAAGCUUAAGCGACCCAGACGAGCUCAGAUACCAACGCGCUGCCACCGGGGAACACGGAGAAGCGGACCGACGGAUCCACCACCAAAGAAACCCCACGCGCUGCUACCACCGGAGAACACGACAGCAACACCUCAGACAAAGCAGAGAGGCACUGAUGUUGCCAGAAACCGGCGAACCAGGAGCCCCAACUCCACACAACCCCUCGCUCACCAACCAGCCACCACGCCACGAGACCGAUGAGGAGUAAGAAGGCGCUGCACGCGCCACCACACUCGGAGAAACGUACCUGAGACUCUGUAAAACUACCGGGAGAGACCUAGACAGAGGGAGGUUGAACACAGCAGUGGGAGAAGCCGUCCUCAAGCAACCACCAACGCCGUAAACCUAGAUCUGCUUUCGGUCUUCCCAGAUCUGAGAAGCAGGACGCUCUCCCUCAGCCGCAGAGCAACGGAGACAACAGAGGAGAGAAGAGUUGCAGAGACGGAACAGACAAACGAGAUGAACGGCGAAGAUCCGGCGGCCACCGGAAAAUAGAUCAGAAAAGCAACGGAAGGUCCGAGAGAGGUGAGAGCAAAAGAUAUUUUGGUACCGAGAUCGGCUAUGGUUUUGUCUCCUCCGGAGGGUUGUCCGGUACCGAUCCGUUUUCUCUAUACGGGUCACGGUUAGAUGGAUGUAUACGGUCACCGUGGAAUGCAAAGGAGGCGGUAAUCUCCGGCGCAAAUCGCUGAACGACGGCAUCGUCGGUUCUUGGCUUCUCCUCGUACCGCCGAUGGUCUCUUUUACCUCUCCUGCUUUGAGUUCGUGUUUGGAUUCUUUGCUUGGAAGCGCUCUGCGUACCAGUUGGAAGCUGUAGGAACUGUAGCAUUCAGGGUUUAAGGGCGCCCUUCUUUCGGUAGCUCGCGGCAACCACUCGACUACUCAUCUAGCUCCCGGGUUGCUUGGUCCGAGCCCGUCCCGUUAUUAAUCCUGUUAAUUGCUUGCAUUGUGCUGUCCGUGCUUGGUUAUUUGUUGUUGUCUGUAGUUGUUCUUGUGUUUUGUUUAUGGUUUUUCUGCUACUAGUUAUUCUGUGUAAUGUCUAUCAAAAAUUGAAAAUUGGUAAUAAUAAUUAACAUUUUACCAAAAAAAAAAAACUAAAUAUAUAAAUAUAUGUUCUCAGGC